rnacentral:rRNA from 1 species
UGGGGAAUAUUGCGCAAUGGGGGGAACCCUGACGCAGCAACGCCGCGUGCAGGAAGAAGGUCUUCGGAUUGUAAACUGUUGUCGCGAGGGAAGAAGGAAAAUGACGGUACCUCGUGAGAAAGUCACGGCUAACUACGUGCCAGCAGCCGCGGUAAUACGUAGGUGACAAGCGUUGUCCGGAUUUACUGGGUGUAAAGGGCGCGCAGGCGGGCAGGCAAGUCAGUCGUGAAAUGCCGGGGCUCAACCCCGGAGCUGCGAUUGAAACUGCAGGUCUUGAGUAUCGGAGAGGAAAGCGGAAUUCCCAGUGUAGCGGUGAAAUGCGUAGAUAUUGGGAGGAACACCAGUGGCGAAGGCGGCUUUCUGGACGACAACUGACGCUGAGGCGCGAAAGUGUGGGGAGCAAACA